rnacentral:lncRNA from 1 species
AUGGGAACAUCAUGGGGGACCAAAGGGGCUUUCCAGCUGUCCAGUGCUGUCCCCAGUAGGACUUUAGGAGCGCAUGGAGCACUGCACCAAGGGGUGCUCAGCCUUCUCCGCAGGGCUGGGACAAAGGGACCCACGGGCACGUCUCCCACGUGCCACCAUCCUCGAGACCGCCCAGCUGCGCUGGGACACCCGCUGUGGUGCCGUUCCCACGGCGUGGGGCGCACGGAGCCAACCCCACUGCGGGCAGCGGAAACGGCGCUUCCCCUUUUGCUGCCCCGGGGUUGCAGUUUCAGCCACCCUGGAUGGGGUCCUGUGUCCGUCUGUCGUCCCCCCACCUCCUCCCCAGCACCCCCAGCCCCAGCUUUCCCCCAGCUGCUCCUUCCAGACACCUCGAGCAGCUCACGUGGAUGCAGCCGGCAGCACUGGGGCUGGCGUCGCAUCCUCUUUCCUAACCGAGCUACGUGGCCUGAUUUCCCUCGCCGUUCCCCGUUUCAUCACAAACCCCAAUUGCAUCAGGAGCCCAAAAUUGCAGCACGACCCUUCCCGGAGCCGCCGCGGCCUCCCCGCCUGGGCACUGGCGGCAGAGCUCGGCCGUGGAGCUUUGAGGUCCUGCCCGAGGUUCCUCCGCUAUCUCCCCGAUCACCCUCGACGGAGGAAGUGAGACAAACAAGAGCACAAAACCGGGAUCAAACGCGCGGAGCCUUCGUGCGUGACCUUGCCCGCGGCGGAGGCGGGAGGAAUUUUUGCGGAGCCGGCGUCCACGCAUGGGAAACGGGCAGUUUCCAUCAGAUAGCAGCCGCUGUCUGCCGGAGGAAGUCUGUGCUGCAGCCGCCCUAUCGCCGUGACCAUCUCUGCCCCGGCGCAGAUUGCAGCCGCCAGCCCCUCCCGGGGGGGGGGGGGCCCCUCGGGGGGGGGGCACGGGCCCCGAUUUUUGCCNNNNNNNNNNNNNNNNNNNNGGGGGGGGGGGGGGCCUCGAGGGGGGGGCAGCGGCCCCGAAUUUUGCCCUCAGCAGCCGGGCACAGGAUGCGCAGUUUGCAGCAAGGGCUCUGCUUCAGGCGCUGCUCUCUUCCGCGCUGGGAACCUGGAUUUGUUUUUAACCGUGAUCUCCACUGGGGGAAAUUAAAGAGAUUUUAA